UCGUAACAAGGUCUCCGUAGGUGAACCUGCGGAGGGAUCAUUACACAAUAUGAAAGCGGGCUGGCAUCCUUCGGGGUUACAGCCUUGCUGAAUUAUUCACCCGUGUCUUUUGCGUACUUCUUGUUUCCUUGGUGGGUUCGCCCACCAUAGGACAAACCAUAAACCUUUUGUAAUUGCAAUCAGCGUCAGUAAAAAAAUUAAUAAUUACAACUUUUAACAACGGAUCUCUUGGUUCUGGCAUCGAUGAAGAACGCAGCGAAAUGCGAUAAGUAGUGUGAAUUGCAGAAUUCAGUGAAUCAUCGAAUCUUUGAACGCACAUUGCGCCCUUUGGUAUUCCAAAGGGCAUGCCUGUUCGAGCGUCAUUUGUACCCUCAAGCUUUGCUUGGUGUUGGGCGUCUUGUCUCCAGUUCGCUGGAGACUCGCCUUAAAGUAAUUGGCAGCCGGCCUACUGGUUUCGGAGCGCAGCACAAGUCGCGCUCUCUUCCAGCCAAGGUCAGCAUCCACAAAGCCUUUUUUCAACUUUUGACCUCGGAUCAGGUAGGGAUACCCGCUGAACCUAAGCAUAUCA
rnacentral:misc_RNA from 1 species